rfam:Otolemur garnettii contig068321, whole genome shotgun sequence.
CAAAAUGGAGAUAAUGUUGAAAGCUUUGCAGAAUUGUUGAAAAUACUAUGUGAAGAGUCUUAUGUUGCCAUACAUAUUAUAUUGGAGCUGGCAAAGGCUUCAGAGGCUUGAUGACAAAGACAUCUCCUUCCUUUCCUACAUCAGUGAUUGGCUCCCAGAUGU